rnacentral:lncRNA from 1 species
GAGUACAUAGAGUACAUAGAAGAGUGAGCUCUGAAAGAACUCUCACAUGGACCCCAGAAAGAGGAGUACUCAACGCCUGCUGCACAGAAGGCAUCAGCAGUUAAGUACUGGCUAGAAAAGCGGAGUCCAUCAAAGGAGAGGACCACAGUGGUAGCUGCCUGUUACAAGCUAUUGAGGCACUCCAGAGUGACGGCAUGUGAUCCCCCUGACACAAGAAACAGGCCCAGAUAACACACCGUUCAGACCGACAGCAGUUCUGGUUAUGCUGCAGUACAUCAGACGAGUGCUCUUAUCCAUCCACAGUUCUUAUCACAGUUACUUAUGCAUAUAUUCAUUUUUUAUAUAAAAGAAUCUUGAAUCGGUCACUUAAAUAUUGAAUCUCAAUAAUAAAAAAUACUAAAAGUAUA